UGGGGAAUAUUGCACAAUGGGCGAAAGCCUGAUGCAGCAACGCCGCGUGAGUGAUGAAGGUCUUCGGAUUGUAAAGCUCUGUCUUUUGGGACGAUAAUGACGGUACCAAAGGAGGAAGCCACGGCUAACUACGUGCCAGCAGCCGCGGUAAUACGUAGGUGGCGAGCGUUGUCCGGAUUUACUGGGCGUAAAGGGUGCGUAGGCGGAUGUUUAAGUGAGAUGUGAAAUACCCGGGCUUAACUUGGGUGCUGCAUUUCAAACUGGAUAUCUAGAGUGCAGGAGAGGAGAAUGGAAUUCCUAGUGUAGCGGUGAAAUGCGUAGAGAUUAGGAAGAACACCAGUGGCGAAGGCGAUUCUCUGGACUGUAACUGACGCUGAGGCACGAAAAGCGUGGGUAGCAAACAGGAUUAGAUACCCUGGUAGUCCACGCCGUAAAACGAUGAGUACUAGGUGUAGGAGGUAUCGACCCCUUCUGUGCCGCAGUAAAACACAUUAAAGUA
rnacentral:rRNA from 1 species